UACGGGGGGGGCAAGCGUUGCUCGGAAUUACUGGGCGUAAAGGGCUCGUAGGCGGCCAACUAAGUCGGAUGUGAAAUCCCCAGGCUUAACCUGGGAACUGCAUCUGAUACUGGAUGGCUUGAAUCCGGGGGAGGGAUGCAGAAUUCCAGGUGUAGCGGUGAAAUGCGUAGAUAUCUGGAGGAAUACCGGUGGCGAAGGCGGCAUCCUGGACCGGCAUUGACGCUGAUGAGCGAAAGCUAGGGGGGCAAACAGG
rnacentral:rRNA from 1 species